CAACUGUGUUCUUGCGUAGGAUUUCUUUGAUCUUCUUACCUAUUCAUGCACUUGGAUUCAACGCUAUGCGAGAGAAUAUCGGCGACAGAGUUGUAAACGCCAAUGGUGCUGAAAUGAGAAACACUUGAUUUCCCCAAAGGCUCUCGAACCGAGGUGGGAACAGCUGCAAGUUUUACUGUGCCGUUCCAUUGGAUAUUGAUAUUUUGUUUUCCAUAUAAACACCCCACCAGUCGUCCUUUAGUUGAGAUUCAGCCUCAACGACGAAACGUACUUGAACACAACUACGUAGAGGAAUCAGCUGCACUGUGUUCACACUUACGUACCUGUAGCUUGGCAUUCGUCGCGAAACCGGUGCCCAGGCUGGCCGACUCGACAAGAGGAAGAAACACACAACGUGUGCCUCUCUAGAGGGAAGACUCGAGGUCUCUUCUUGUUGAAAGACGGUAUAAGCGCGAUGUUGACCUCUGAUUCUGGAACUGCUGUGUCCCAGGAACCACUGGUCACAAACGCAGUGCUGCAAAGUCACCUUCAGCCAACACGGUUCAUGGCGCAUGCGUCGUUGCUAUUCUUUAAUUGCCUGGUUCUCCCAGAUCUGUCAAUAAAACCACGACAGUUUCCGAGCACAGAGAGGGAGUUGAGUUAACAAAACCUUCACGGGGUCCGACAACAUGAAACCAAGACUGAUAGUGCCCUCAGCUUCCAAGGCAGCAUGAAUAUAUGAAGGAUGUUCGAAUCCAACACCUUUGGGUCUCAUAAGGAACCGACUGGGGUGAUGGUGUCCAGCACUCGUGAGACAGGGACGUCACAGAACUCGUGCGAUGGGUGUGUUGACAGACUCACUGCCAUUUCCAUGUCGAGGGGACUUGUCAUCCUGUAAGAAGUCUUCGCAAGAGAUCCCGACAUAGGUUCGUGCUGGGUUGUGUGAAUUGACCGGCAAAAAAGCGAAAAUGGAGGGUGCGAAGAGGGGGAUCAGAAGAAUUGGCAAACUGCAG
rnacentral:lncRNA from 1 species